GGUGAAUACGUUCUCGAGUCUUGUACUCACCGCCCGUCACACCAAGGGAGCCGGGAGUGGGUGAAGUCCAGCUCUGCUGGGUCAGCCCAAGCUCGGUGACACGGGUGAAGUCGUAACAAGGCACGCGUAGCGGAAGCUGUGCGUGGACCA
rnacentral:rRNA from 1 species